rnacentral:rRNA from 1 species
AUGAACGCUGGCGGCGUGCCUAAUCCCUGCCAGUCGAGCGAACGGACGAGAAGCUUGCUUCUCUGAUGUUAUCGGCGUACGGUUUAGUAACACGUUGAUAACCUACCUAUAAGACUUUGAUAACUUCGGGAAACCGGAGCUAAUACCGGAUAAUAUUUUUAACCGCAUGGUUCAAAAGUUAAAGACGGUCUUGCUUUCACUUAUAGAUGUAUCCGCGCUGCAUUAGCUAGUUGGUAAGGUAACGGCUUACCAAGGCAACGAUGCAUAGCCGACCUGAGAGGGUGAUCGGCAACACUGGAACUGAGACACGGUCCAGACUACUACGGGAGGCAGCAGAAGGGAAUAGUCCGCAAUGGGCGAAAGCAUGACGGAGCAAAGCCGCGUGAGUGAUGAAGGUCUGCGGAUCGUAAAACUCUGUUAUUAGGGAAGAAAAUAUGUGUAAGUAAAUGUGAACAUCGUGACGGUAACUAAUAAGAAAGCAACGGCUAACUACGUG